UGCUGUGGCCAAACGUUAUUGUUCAAAGCCUGAUCUCCUCACAUCUCAGAGGCCAAGCAGCAUCAGGCCUCGUUAGUACUUUUAAUGGGAGACUGCUUGGAAUACUAGCUGCCACAGGGG
rnacentral:rRNA from 1 species